rnacentral:rRNA from 1 species
GAGUUUGAUCAUGGCUCAGAUUGAACGCUGGCGGCAUGCCUUACACAUGCAAGUCGAACGGCAGCAUGAUCUAGCUUGCUAGAUUGAUGGCGAGUGGUGAACGGGUGAGUAAUACAUCGGAACGUGCCCUGUAGUGGGGGAUAACUAGUCGAAAGAUUAGCUAAUACCGCAUACGACCUGAGGGUGAAAGUGGGGGACCGCAAGGCCUCAUGCUAUAGGAGCGGCCGAUGUCUGAUUAGCUAGUCGGUGGGGUAAAGGCCCACCAAGGCGACGAUCAGUAGCUGGUCUGAGAGGACGAUCAGCCACACUGGGACUGAGACACGGCCCAGACUCCUACGGGAGGCAGCAGUGGGGAAUUUUGGACAAUGGGCGAAAGCCUGAUCCAGCAAUGCCGCGUGUGUGAAGAAGGCCUCGGUU